UCACCCUACGGGACGCAGCAGUGAGGAAUAUUGGUCAAUGGUCGGGAGACUGAACCAGCCAAGUAGCGUGCAGGAUGACGGCCCUCCGGGUUGUAAACUGCUUUUAGUUGGGAAUAAAAGGGGGCUCGUGAGCCCCGUAUUGUAUGUACCAUCAGAAAAAGGACCGGCUAAUUCCGUGCCAGCAGCCGCGGUAAUACGGAAGGUCCGGGCGUUAUCCGGAUUUAUUGGGUUUAAAGGGAGCGUAGGCCGGCUUUUAAGU
rnacentral:rRNA from 1 species